rnacentral:rRNA from 1 species
UACGUAGGGGGCAAGCGUUGUCCGGAUUCAUUGGGCGUAAAGAGCGUGUAGGCGGCCAGGUAGGUCGGUCGUGAAAACUGGAGGCUCAACCUUCAGAGGUCGACCGAAACCAUCUGGCUAGAGUCCGGGAGAGGAGAGUGGAAUUCCUGGUGUAGCGGUGAAAUGCGUAGAUAUCUGAAGGAACAUCAGUGGCGAAAGCGACUUCCUGGACCAAUACUGACGCUCAUGUGCGAAAGCGUGGGGAGCAAACAGGG